rnacentral:rRNA from 1 species
AAUAUUUAAAAAUUGAGUUUGUUGAUGAGAAGAGGUUUAUUAAGUCUGUAUUGUUAAAGAUUGUGGGUUAUAAAUUCGAUAGUAUAGAAGUACUGUAAAGGAAAUUGGUUAAUAUUGAGGAAGCAUUUUUUAUUACCUUUUGUAUAAGGGUUUAUUUAUAAAUUUAAAAAAUUUUUAAUUCCCGAAGCUUAAUGGGCUAUUUUUAUAAAAUUUUGUAUGUUUCAUAAUAUAGUUUUAUAUAAAAAUAGGAAUGAAAUUUUAUUCAAAUUAGGAGAUAUCUGGUUAAAGUAACUUAAUUAUAUAUUAGCAUUAGAGUAAUGAUUUUAAAUUGCUUUAAAUGUAAAGGUUUAUGGGAUAAGCUAUAAAUUUUCUUAUAAAGAUUAUUUUAAAAAUAAGUAAGGUUUAAAAUUUACUUGGUUUUGUUAUAAAGGUUUAUAAUGAUAAGGUAAUAAAGUUAAGGGAAUUGUUAUUUUAUUGAACAUUAUUUAGGAAAAAUUUUGAUAAAAUUAGUAUAAUUUUUUAUAAAAAAAAAAUUAAGAUUAAAUUAUUUUUUAUAAGACAUUUUAUUUUUAGGAAUUCGGCAAGUUAACUUUUGACUGUUUAUCAAAAACAUUGUAUUUUGAAUUGAUAAAAUAUUUAACCUGCUCAGUGUAGAUUAUAAAUUGCUGUGGUAUUUUGACUAUACGAAGGUAUUGAAAUAAGAUCUUAAAUGGGUGCUAAGAGAAUGGUUGAACAAAGGUUUUCUUUCUAAAAAUAAAUUACUAGAAGUUGGUUUUUAUGUGAAAAAACAUAAAUUAUUAUUUGGGACAAGAAGACCCUAUGAAUUUUUAUUUUAUGUAAAUAAUUUUAUUAUUUACGUAAAAUUUAAUUGGGGUGAUUUUUAAAGAUUGGGAAUCUUUAGAUUUAUUAAGAUGAUCCGUUAUUAGCGAUUUUUUGAAAAAAAUACUCUAGGGAUAACAGCGUAAUAAUUUUGGAUAGUUCUUAUUGAUAAAAUUGAUUGCGACCUCGAUGUUGGAUUAAGAUUCUUAUUUAAUGAAGAAGUUAAAUUAAGAAGUUUGCUCAACUUUUAAUAUCUUACAUGAUCUGAGUUCAGACCGGCGUAAGCCAGGUUGGUUUCUAUCUAGAUGUGAGUUUAUAUUAUGUUAGUACGAAAGGAAUAUGUAGUAAGGUUUUACCUAGUAUUUUUUUUAUUUUAAACUA